rnacentral:rRNA from 1 species
CGGGGGUGAGAUAACUAGUCUGUCAAGAUAGCCAUGCAUGUCUAAGUAUAAGCAAUCUAUACUGUGAAACUGCGAAUGGCUCAUUAAAUCAGUAUCGUUUAUUUGAUAGUACCUUACUACUUGGAUAACCGUGGUAAUUCUAGAGCUAUACAUGCUAAAAACCCCGACUUCGGAAGGGGUGUAUUUAUUAGAUAAAAAACCAAUGCCCUUCGGGGCUCCUUGGUGAAUCAUGAUAACUUAACGAAUCGCAUGGCCUUGCGCCGGCGAUGGUUCAUUCAAAUUUCUGCCCUAUCAACUUUCGAUUGUAGGAUAGUGGCCUACAAUGGUUUCAACGGGUAACGGGGAAUUAGGGUUCUAUUCCGGAGAGGGAGCCUGAGAAACGGCUACCACAUCCAAGGAAGGCAGCAGGCGCGCAAAUUACCCAAUCCCGAUACGGGGAGGUAGUGACAAUAAAUACUGAUACAGGGCUCUUUUGGGUCUUGUAAUUGGAAUGAGUACAAUUUAAAUACCUUAACGAGGAACAAUUGGAGGGCAAGUCUGGUGCCAGCAGCCGCGGUAAUUCCAGCUCCAAUAGCGUAUAUUAAAGUUGUUGCAGUUAAAAAGCUCGUAGUUGAACCUUGGGCCUGGCUGGCCGGUCUGCCUCACCGCAUGUACUGGUUCGGCCGGGUCUUUCCUCCUGGGGAUCCGCAUGCCCUUCACUGGGUGUGUUGGGGAACCAGGACUUUUACUUUGAAAAAAUUAGAGUGUUCAAAGCAGGCCUUUGCUCGAAUACAUUAGCAUGGAAUAAUAGAAUAGGACGUGCGGUCCUAUUUUGUUGGUUUCUAGGACCGCCGUAAUGAUUAAUAGGGAUAGUCGGGGGCAUCAGUAUUCAGUUGUCAGAGGUGAAAUUCUUGGAUUUACUGAAGACUAACUACUGCGAAAGCAUUUGCCAAGGAUGUUUUCAUUAAUCAGUGAACGAAAGUUAGGGGAUCGAAGACGAUCAGAUACCGUCGUAGUCUUAACCGUAAACUAUGCCGACUAGGGAUCGGGCGAUGUUAUUCUUUUGACUCGCUCGGCACCUUACGAGAAAUCAAAGUCUUUGGGUCUGGGGGAGUAGCCACCGC